rnacentral:rRNA from 1 species
GCUCAGGACGAACGCUGGCGGCGUGCUUAACACAUGCAAGUCGAACGGUAAGGCCCCUUCGGGGGUACACGAGUGGCGAACGGGUGAGUAACACGUGGGUAAUCUGCCCUGCACUUCGGGAUAAGCCUGGGAAACUGGGUCUAAUACCGGAUAUGAACUCCUGCCGCAUGGUGGGGGUUGGAAAGUUUUUCGGUGCAGGAUGAGCCCGCGGCCUAUCAGCUUGUUGGUGGGGUAAUGGCCUACCAAGGCGACGACGGGUAGCCGGCCUGAGAGGGUGAUCGGCCACACUGGGACUGAGACACGGCCCAGACUCCUACGGGAGGCAGCAGUGGGGAAUAUUGCACAAUGGGCGAAAGCCUGAUGCAGCGACGCCGCGUGGGGGAUGACGGUCUUCGGAUUGUAAACCCCUUUCAGUAGGGACGAAGCGCAAGUGACGGUACCUGCAGAAGAAGCACCGGCUAACUACGUGCCAGCAGCCGCGGUAAUACGUAGGGUGCGAGCGUUGUCCGGAAUUACUGGGCGUAAAGAGCUCGUAGGCGGUUUGUCACGUCGUCUGUGAAAUCCCUCGGCUUAACCGGGGGCGUGCAGGCGAUACGGGCAGACUUGAGUACUACAGGGGAGACUGGAAUUCCUGGUGUAGCGGUGAAAUGCGCAGAUAUCAGGAGGAACACCGGUGGCGAAGGCGGGUCUCUGGGUAGUAACUGACGCUGAGAG